rnacentral:rRNA from 1 species
GCAAGUCGAACGAGAAAGCAUCUUCGGAUGUGAGUAGAGUGGCGCACGGGUGAGUAACACGUAGGUAACCUGCCCCUUGAUGGAGGAUAAACAGAAGAAAUUCUGGCUAAUACUGCAUAAGUUGGUAACAAGAAAUGAUGCUUCGGCAUUCGUCGAGAGAUGGGCCUGCGGAACAUUAGCUUGAUGGUGAGGUAAUGGCCUACCAUGGCUACGAUGUUUAACUGGUCUGAGAGGAUGAUC